rnacentral:rRNA from 1 species
GAUGAACGCUAGCGACAGGCUUAACACAUGCAAGUCGAGGGGCAGCAUGAGGUAGCAAUACCUUGAUGGCGACCGGCGCACGGGUGAGUAACGCGUAUGCAACCUGCCCGAUACCGGGGUAUAGCCCAUGGAAACGUGGAUUAACAACCCAUAGUACUUUUAUCCUGCAUGGGAUGUGAGUUAAAUGUUCAAGGUAUCGGAUGGGCAUGCGUCCUAUUAGUUAGUUGGCGGGGUAACAGCCCACCAAGGCGAUGAUAGGUAGGGGUUCUGAGAGGAAGGUCCCCCACAUUGGAACUGAGACACGGUCCAAACUCCUACGGGAGGCAGCAGUGAGGAAUAUUGGUCAAUGGACGUAAGUCUGAACCAGCCAAGUCGCGUGAGGGAAGACUGCCCUAUGGGUUGUAAACCUCUUUUAUAAGGGAAGAAUAAGUUCUACGUGUAGAAUGAUGCCUGUACCUUAUGAAUAAGCAUCGGCUAACUCCGUGCCAGCCGCCGCCGUAA